CACUUUAAGAUAUUAUAUAAAGUAACUCCUGCUCAAUGAAUAUUAAAUAGCCGCAGUUUUACUGUGCUAAGGUAGCAUAAUAAAUAGUCUAUUAAUUAUAGAAUAGAAUGAAAGGAUAAACAAAUUUUUAACUAUAUUUAAUCCUAUUAUAAAAAUUAAAUUAAAAGUAAAAAUUCCUUUUUAAAAUAGAAAGACGAUAAGACCCUAAAGAACUUAACUUAAGUUAAACUGGGGUGGUUACAUAACUAAUUCUUACUAAUUAAAUCUUAAAAUAUCUAUAUUAUAUAUUUAUCCAAGUUACCUUAGGGAUAACAGCACAAUUUAUAUUAAAAGCACUUAUUAAAAUAUAAGAUUAUGACCUCGAUGUUGAAUUAAUUAUCUAUUAUAAAGCAAAAAAUUAAUCAGAAAGUCUGUUCGACUUUUAAAUUUUUACAU
rnacentral:rRNA from 1 species